rnacentral:rRNA from 1 species
CUCCAGACUCCUACGGGAGGCAGCAGUGGGGAAUAUUGCACAAUGGGGGGAACCCUGAUGCAGCGACGCCGCGUGGGUGAAGGAGCACCUCGGUGCGUAAAGCCCUAUCGGCAGGGAAGAAAAGCGAACAGGUUCGCCUGGACGGUACCUGACUAAGAAGCCCCGGCUAACUACGUGCCAGCAGCCGCGGUAAUACGGAGGUGGCAAGCGUUAUCCGGAUUUACUGGGUGUAAAGGGCGUGUAGGCGGGAAAGCAAGUCAGAUGUGAAAACCAUGGGCUCAACCUGUGGCCUGCAUUUGAAACUGUUUUUCUUGAGUACUGGAGAGGCAGACGGAAUUCCUAGUGUAGCGGUGAAAUGCGUAGAUAUUAGGAGGAACACCAGUGGCGAAGGCGGCCUACUGGACUGCGACUGACGUUGAGGCCCGAAAGCGUGGGGAGCAAACAGGAUUAGAUACCCCAGUAAA